GGUUAAGUGAAUAAGGGCGCACGGUGGAUGCCUUGGCACUAGGAGCCGAUGAAGGACGGGACUAACACCGAUAUGCUUUGGGGAGCUGUAAGUAAGCUAUGAUCCAGAGAUUUCCGAAUGGGGGAACCCAAUAUCUUUUAUAGGAUAUUACUUUUCAGUGAAUACAUAGCUGAUUAGAGGUAGACGCAGAGAACUGAAACAUCUUAGUACCUGCAGGAAGAGAAAGAAAAUUCGAUUCCCUGAGUAGCGGCGAGCGAAACGGGAAGAGCCCAAACCAACAAGCUUGCUUGUUGGGGUUGUAGGACUCCAAUAUGGUAGUCUGUUAGUAUAGUUGAAGGAUUUGGAAAAUUCCGCUAAAGAGGGUGAAAGCCCCGUAGACGAAAUGCUAACAACACCUAGGAGGAUCCUGAGUACGGCGGAACACGAGAAAUUCCGUCGGAAUCCGCGGGGACCAUCCCGCAAGGCUAAAUACUCCCUAGUGACCGAUAGUGAACCAGUACCGUGAGGGAAAGGUGAAAAGCACCCCGGAAGGGGAGUGAAAUAGAUCCUGAAACCGUGUGCCUACAACAAGUCAAAGCUCGUUAAUGAGUGAUGGCGUGCCUUUUGUAGAAUGAACCGGCGAGUUACGAUUGCAUGCGAGGUUAAGUCGAAGAGACGGAGCCGCAGCGAAAGCGAGUCUGAAUAGGGCGAAUGAGUAUGUAGUCGUAGACCCGAAACCAUGUGAUCUACCCAUGUCCAGGUUGAAGGUGCGGUAAAACGCACUGGAGGACCGAACCCACGUACGUUGAAAAGUGCGGGGAUGAGGUGUGGGUAGCGGAGAAAUUCCAAACGAACUUGGAGAUAGCUGGUUCUCUCCGAAAUAGCUUUAGGGCUAGCCUCGGAAUUGAGAAUGAUGGAGGUAGAGCACUGUUUGGACUAGGGGCCCAUCUCGGGUUACCGAAUUCAGAUAAACUCCGAAUGCCAUUCAUUUAUAUCCGGGAGUCAGACUGCGAGUGAUAAGAUCCGUAGUCGAAAGGGAAACAGCCCAGACCACCAGCUAAGGUCCCAAAAUAUAUGUUAAGUGGAAAAGGAUGUGGGGUUGCACAGACAACUAGGAUGUUGGCUUAGAAGCAGCCACCAUUUAAAGAGUGCGUAAUAGCUCACUAGUCGAGUGACCCUGCGCCGAAAAUGUACCGGGGCUAAACAUAUUACCGAAGCUGUGGACUACACCAUUAGGUGUAGUGGUAGGAGAGCGUUCUAAGGGCGUUGAAGGUCGAUCGUGAGGACGGCUGGAGCGCUUAGAAGUGAGAAUGCCGGUAUGAGUAGCGAAAGACAGGUGAGAAUCCUGUCCACCGUAUGACUAAGGUUUCCUGGGGAAGGCUCGUCCGCCCAGGGUUAGUCGGGACCUAAGCCGAGGCCGAUAGGCGUAGGCGAUGGACAACAGGUUGAUAUUCCUGUACCAGUUGUUUUUGUUUGAGCAAUGGAGGGACGCAGUAGGCUAAGGAAUGCAUGCGAUUGGAAGUGCAUGUCCAAGCAAUGAGUCUUGAGUAGAGUUAAAUGCUUUACUCUCUAAGGACAAGUUGUGACGGGGAGCGAAAUAAUAGUAGCGAAGUUCCUGAUGUCACACUGCCAAGAAAAGCUUCUAGUGAGAAAACAACUGCCCGUACCGUAAACCGACACAGGUAGUCGAGGAGAGUAUCCUAAGGUGAGCGAGCGAACUCUCGUUAAGGAACUCGGCAAAAUGACCCCGUAACUUCGGGAGAAGGGGUGCUGACUUCGGUCAGCCGCAGUGAAUAGGCCCAAGCGACUGUUUAUCAAAAACACAGGUCUCUGCAAAAUCGUAAGAUGAAGUAUAGGGGCUGACGCCUGCCCGGUGCUGGAAGGUUAAGAGGAUGGGUUAGCUUCGGCGAAGCUCAGAAUU
rnacentral:rRNA from 1 species